GAACAACUUUAAGCUGUCAAUCUUACCCAACACAGCUAAAGAGUCGUUCGAGUCUUUUAAGACUUCAAGAACAAACGCUACAGAAAGUUUCGACAAUAACCAGGAAAUAGGCAUUCGAAUGGUCGACUGGUGAUACGCGUUUACAGCGUUUACGGCAUUAGACACCUUGGCGAAAAGGUUGCGCAGAGUUUGGGUGAACCUCUUGCACAAAUGACACUCAACACUUUCCAAUUUGCUGGCUGAUUUGACGAUACAUUAUGUAACAUUAUGUAUAAAAAUUCGGAUGUCAUUGAUUUCACAAAUACAAUACAAGUUUUGCCUUUACCGCCACCAAUAUUCGCCAGUAGUGGUUUCAUGAAAAGAUACAAGAUUUAUCAAACAAAAAGUGGAAGGACCCUGAACAAAAGUAAAUUAUUUAAAUGUUUUCGACAUUUAUUUUAUU